AUUUCCUUAGUGAUGCAGCGUGAUUGCAAUCAAAAGGUCAAACUUCUCUCCAUAUUGUUUACAUGGCCGGAUCUACAUAAAACUUUUGUCUCCGAAAGUGACGCUAAGCUGGCAGUAGCAGCUGUGCUUCGUACCAGUUGGUCUUGCUCUUUCUAGCACUCUUGCGAAAGUAUAUCGCUGUUCCAAUGCCUUCUCGGAUAUCUUGUUGCCAUCUUGGCGUGUAAGAAGCAGGGAUAUAUUUGACAUUGUAUUUGACCCACUGCCUGCUGCGUGGCUUCCCAUCCUCUGAACAUCAAAUGAAGUGACAUAAAGUCAGGAUCAACGACAUUAUGAGGGAUUAUUGUGCCUCAUGCAUGAGCUAUGUUUGAAUUGUGUAUACACUAGGCUUCACAUGUAAUUAAUUGGUCUACACAAAUAUUAUGUGUAUGCCUUUCUUAUUAAAUCUCUGAUACACAAGGCUGUCAUAAGUUGCUAGAUUUUCAA